rnacentral:rRNA from 1 species
CCUACGGGAGGCAGCAGUGGGGAAUAUUGGACAAUGGGCGAAAGCCUGAUCCAGCCAUGCCGCGUGAGUGAUGAAGGCCCUAGGGUUGUAAAGCUCUUUCGUCAGGGACGCGGUACCUGAAGAAGAAGCCCCGGCUAACUUCGUGCCAGCAGCCGCGGUAAUACGAAGGGGGCUAGCGUUGUUCGGAAUCACUGGGCGUAAAGCGCACGUAGGUGGAUUGUUAAGUCAGGGGUGAAAUGCCAAGGCUCAACCUUGGAACUGCCCUUGAUACUGGCAAUCUCGAGUCCGGGAGAGGUGAGUGGAACUGCGAGUGUAGAGGUGAAAUUCGUAGAUAUUCGCAAGAACACCAGUGGCGAAGGCGGCUCACUGGCCGGACUGACACUGAGGUGCGAAAGCGUGGGGAGCAAACAGGAUUAGAUACCCUUGUAGUC